rnacentral:rRNA from 1 species
GAGUGCCUACGGGGCGCAGCAGUGAGGAAUAUUGGUCAAUGGGAGAGAUCCUGAACCAGCCACGCCGCGUGAGGGAAGACGGCCCUAUGGGUUGUAAACCUCUUUUGUCGGAGAACAAAACCCGGGACGUGUCCCGGACUGCGUGUAUCCGAAGAAAAAGCAUCGGCUAACUCCGUGCCAGCAGCCGCGGUAAUACGGAGGAUGCGAGCGUUAUCCGGAUUUAUAGGGUUUAAGGGUGCGUAGGCGGUCCGUUAAGUCAGCGGUA